AUGUAGGAGAAACAAACAUGGGACUCGCUUGUUGUGGUUGUUGUAGAAUCAUUUGCUUGUGGAAACAACAUAAAGUCACUUUGCCCGUUCUCCUCCUUUAUCAUGGAAGCCUCAGCAAAUCUACGCCCAUAAAAUCUCAAGAAAUUCAGAGAUUCCACUCUUGGCUGACCUAAAGGAAUACUGCCUUCCAACAUUCCUACAACAUUUACCAUAUUAGGCCUCCAUGAUGGUUCCUCGUGAACACAACACAGAGCUACACGCACUAAUUUUUCCACCUCUUCAC
rnacentral:misc_RNA from 1 species